UACGGAGGGUGCAAGCGUUAAUCGGAAUUACUGGGCGUAAAGCGCGCGUAGGCGGCUGGAUAAGUCGAUUGUGAAAGCCUUGGGCUCAACCUGAGAAUUGCAGUCGAGACUGUUCGGCUAGAGUGUGGGAGAGGGUGGUGGAAUUCCCGGUGUAGCGGUGAAAUGCGUAGAUAUCGGAAGGAACGCCGGUGGCGAAAGCGCAUCACUGGACCUCUUCUGACGCCUGAGGCGCGAAAGCCAGGGGAGCAAACGGG
rnacentral:rRNA from 1 species